rnacentral:tRNA from 1 species
GCGGAUGUGGUGAAACUGGUAGACACGCAGGAUUUAGGUUCCUGUGGCUUCGGCUGUGCGGGUUCGAGUCCCGCCAUCCGCA